AACUAUUGCCUAUUAAAAUUAGAAUAAAAUAUUUAAUUUGAAUGUUGAAUAGUAGACCUUCAAAUUUGAAGGAAGAGCAACAAUUACUGUAACUCAAAACUUUCCAAAUACCUCUUUGAUGAAUUUAAUGUAGGUUCAUUUUAAGUAAAUUCAUCAAAAUUUGAAGAUGCAUUGACUUUUGAUGAAGCCAAUGCUAGUGCUCUUAGUCGUUUAUAAACUCAGAACUUCAUAUUUAUUCAUAACAGAUGUCCCCUAUAUGGUAUCUUAAGCCCUUGCAUUCACCGUUCAUGAAUGCAGUUCUCUCUCUCUCUCUCUCUCUCUCUCUCUCUCUCUCUCGCGCAAGGGGUUUCUAUAGAGCAACAAACCAAAUGCCGAAACAAAAAGUUUUACUUUCUGAUAUUUAACCCACGGUAUUUGUUCUACCAUUUUACAUUUUAUCUUCGGAUGUCACGAUUCAGUUUACAUUAUCAAUAGUGGACCGAAGUCAUUGUGGCUUUGGUUAUAAAGGUUAAUAAGUUUUGGGCUUAGUACUGUUGGUUAUGUGUCGGCCUGUGACCAUUUAUUUUAUUUACGUGUUAUUUUCGAGUUGAGCCAUGACCCAUUUAUUUGUUUAUUAGAAUUGUUUGAAUUGUCUUUAUUUUACCGUCUUGUUAAGUUGGAGGAGUGUCAAUAUUUGUAGUCGGACUGUGGGAUGCACUUGUAAUGAUAUGCAAAAAUUGAAUCAAAGAUAUUUUCUCUUUCCUCAUUUCCUUCUUCUCCUUUCUUUUGGAGGUGCUUCCUUCGAAUUGAGCUUUUAUUUGUAUAUUUUUGCCAAACACUUGGGGCGUGUUACAAAUUGGUAUCGUAGAGACAUCGAUCUUUAUGCUAUCAAUCAUGGAAGAAAUUCUUGUAUCAAUCAACAAAAUCAGAUUGGAAGAAAUUCUUGUAUCAAUCAACAAAAUCAGGGAGCUAGUAGAACAAAUAAAUCAAAAUCACAAUUUUCCAACAACAUUUAAAGGAUUUCGAGAACAAAUUUAACGAAAACUUGACCCAUUUAGGACAUCAAGUUUAAAUGGGUCGAGUUUGUGCGAUGCAGGAAGAUAAAGAACAAGCAUGAGCACGAGAUGGUGCAGCAAUGGAGUUGCAGCUGUAGGCCAUGAAGAAGGAGACGGGGGUCGAAAGUCGAAGUCUAAGGAUUAUAAAAAAGAGGAAUUUGGAAGGUGAAGGAGGCCAAGAAGUCUCAGUAGCCCACAAUCGAUGACAAGUACACCUAGUUGAAGUCUCUCAUCCUUGUCCUCUACGAUUUGCUUGCCAGCAACAACUUUGUCUUGCCCUCUCUCUUUGCUAGUGGGUCCUCUGCUAGAGAAAGCCACAUUAAAAAAUCUUCAGUAUCUCAAUAUUUCUGGUAGACUGAUGGUAGUCACUCUUUAUACUCUGAUGAUUACAAAUUAAAGGUGCUACCCACACCCCUUGGAAGGGGGGCUGUUGGCUCCACCCCCUUUUGCAUGGACAAGGGUGUGGGAAGUAGGGCCCCGCCCUCCAUGGAUGGGUGCACUUGUCUGUGUGUUAGCGGUGAAUUAGCUCUCAUAACCGGGUCAAUUAGCUCCCACAACCGUCCGCCCACCCCACCCAAAACUCCCAUUGUCGGCAAGAAAUCGAAAAAAAAUAAAAAUAAAAAUAAAAAUUCAAAACUCAAAAUCCAACGAGAGAGAGAGAGAGAGAGUUAAGUUGUAAACCAAACCUAGUGUAAAGCGUCAUCUUUUUAUUUUAAAAAAACAUAAUCUAAGAUAAAAUGAAGUCAUUUUAUUUAUAAAAAAAAUUAAUUUUUUAAAUAUAUAUACGUGUGUAUAACUAGGCUGAGUGGACAAGGUAAAUCUUGAGCGGGUCAGGAUCUAGCUUGGGCUUUGUCCUCAAUUCCCAUACAGGCAUUUGCCUGCACACACCCCCCCAGCGCCUCCCCACCCCGCCGCGGCCAAAAAAAAAAAAAAAAAAAAGGUCUGUAGAGGCCGAAAGGGGUGGCUGGUGGAGGAGCCCCGCUGUCCACCCCCUUUGAAAAGUGGGAAGUUGUCAAACCUAGGGUUGCAACUGCAGAGCACAUAUCCCAUUUAAAUGAAGAAGCAUGAUCACCAUUUGAAAGGAACAACAAGACGAAGCUUGCCAAAAAUACCUUGUAGCAUACUUUGCUCACGGGACAGUACUACUGAAGGCAAUAGAAAAGCCAGUUUGGAGAUCUGUGAAGUAAGAAAAAUUACAAAGAGAUACUGGGCACUAGUAACUAGUAUAAGUGAAGAUAAGGUAAUGAUAAAAUAGUCCGUUGGAAUGGUGCAGUAUCCUGGGAUUAUUGAUGAGAAUUUUACAAAAGUCAGGGCCAUCAGAGAAGCUGUAAAGGAUUUGAUUAUGUUGAAUGUUUACAUAAAGUUGUUGGGAAGGUGUAGGGAUUUCAAAUUUGGUUUGAGCAGAUAUAUUGUUUGAUGAAAUGCCUGAAAAGACUCUUGCGGAUUAGAACUAGAUGCUUUAUGGGUACCGGAAGUGGGGGGAUUUCCUGUGGAGGCUUUAAUAUUGUUUGAUGAUAUGCUGGAUGUGGGGAUUCAACCAAAUGCAACAACGGGGUUACUGUUAUUUCAUUGUCGUCAUUGCGCGGUGAUCCUUCCCAUGUGGAUUCACUUGUCAGAAAAUUCGAUCAGAAGAAGAUGUAGCUAAAUUGCUUUGUCUAGACUGCCUGCUUAACAUGCACGCAAAGUGCGGGAGCUUCAAAACUACCUGAAAUUUUUUUGAUGAGCUGGACGCGUAUAGGAACUUUAUAACAUGAAAUGCAAUGAUUUAGGCAUAUACAAAGGCCGGGAAUUUGAUUUCAGCUAGAGAGCUAUUUGAUAAGAUGCCAGAAAAGAAUGUUGUGUCUUGGAACUCGAUGAUUUUAGGUUAUGCUCAAAAUGGGCAGCCAUUUAUGGCAAUUGAGCUAUUCAAAGAUAUGAUUACUUCUAAAGACUCAAAACCAGAUGAGUGUUUUCCCAACUUGUGGAAAUCUUGGGGGCGUUGAAAUUAGAUAUGGGAGCAUGGAAGAUACCAAGAGGAUAUCCCAAAAAAUGGUGACAAGCGAUGCUAUUUCCUACAAUACGUUGACUGCAGGACUUGCGGCUCAUGGUCAUGGAAUGGAAGCCAUUGAACUAAUUUCAAAGAUGAAACAAGAAGGUGGCUACAUUGGAAUGGAGUGGGCUGCAUUUUUGGCGAUCAAUAAAAUAAAUGUAACGAGGGGUUUUCCGGAAGAAAAUUCCAGGGCUCGUUUAUUUACUCCCAAGUCUGCAAGUUAUUAUGAAGAUUAUUGUCAAUCCAAGGGAGUAAAGUUCAUUACAGUUCAGUUUACAUCAACAGUAGUGGAUUGAAGUUUAUUGUGGGCUUUGGUUUGAGUAAUAAAGGUUUAGAAGUUUUGGUCUCGGUACUGUUCGUUGUGUCGACGUCAUUUAUUUUAUUUGGAUGUUAUUCUAGAGCCAGGUCAUGACCCAUUUACUAUUUGUUUGAAUUGUUUGAACUGUCUUUAUUUCACCGUCUUGUUAAGUGGCGUUGGGCCCAUUAGUUAGUUAGAGGAGUGUCAGUAUUUGUAGUGGGAGGACACACUAGUUAUGGCAUGCAAAAACUGAAUCAAAGUUAUUCUCUCUUUCCUCA